UACGGGGGGGGCAAGCGUUGUUCGGAAUUACUGGGUGUAAAGCGCGCGCAGGUGGUCCUUCAAGUCAGAGGUGAAAGCCCAGGGCUCACCCCUGGAACGGCCUUUGAGACUAGAGGACUUGGGUACGGGAGAGGUGAGUGGAAUUCCGAGUGUAGAGGUGAAAUUCGUAGAUAUUCGGAAGAACACCAGUGGCGAAGGCGGCUCACUGGCCCGUUACCGACACUCAGGCGCGACAGCGUGGGGAGCAAACAGG
rnacentral:rRNA from 1 species